GCCGGGUGUGGUGGUGCACGCCUGUAAUCCCAGCUACUCGGGAGGCUGAGGCAGGAGAGUUGCUUGAACCUGGGAGGCAGAGGUUGCAGUGAGCUGAGAGAUGAUGCCACUGCACUUCAGCCUGGGUGACAGAGCAAGACUCAGUCUCAA
ensembl:misc_RNA Metazoa_SRP Metazoan signal recognition particle RNA